CGUCAAAUCAUCAUGCCCCUUAUGCCCUGGGCUACACACGUGCUACAAUGGCCUGUACAGAGGGCAGCGAAGCCGUGAGGCGGAGCGAAUCCCAGAAAGCAGGUCCCAGUUCGGAUUGCAGGCUGCAACUCGCCUGCAUGAAGUAGGAAUCGCUAGUAAUCGCAGGUCAGCAUACUGCGGUGAAUGCGUUCUCGGGGAUU
rnacentral:rRNA from 1 species